rnacentral:rRNA from 1 species
GAUGGACGCUGGCGGCGUGCCUAAUACAUGCAAGUCGAGCGAACAGACGAGGAGCUUGCUCCUCUGACGUUAGCGGCGGACGGGUGAGUAACACGUGGAUAACCUACCUAUAAGACUGGGAUAACUUCGGGAAACCGGAGCUAAUACCGGAUAAUAUAUUGAACCGCAUGGUUCAAUAGUGAAAGACGGUUUUGCUGUCACUUAUAGAUGGAUCCGCGCCGCAUUAGCUAGUUGGUAAGGUAACGGCUUACCAAGGCAACGAUGCGUAGCCGACCUGAGAGGGUGAUCGGCCACACUGGAACUGAGACACGGUCCAGACUCCUACGGGAGGCAGCAGUAGGGAAUCUUCCGCGAUGGGCGAAAGCCUGACGGAGCAACGCCGCGUGAGUGAUGAAGGUCUUCGGAUCGUAAAACUCUGUUAUUAGGGAAGAACAAAUGUGUAAGUAACUAUGCACGUCUUGACGGUACCUAAUCAGAAAGCCACGGCUAACUACG